rnacentral:rRNA from 1 species
UGGACCCGUGUACAAGUCUCCUGGAAGGGAGCAUCGUAGAGGGUGACAAUCCCGUCUCUGACACGGACUUACCAGGGCUUACGCGAUGCGCUCUCGACGAGUCGAGUUGUUUGGGAAUGCAGCUCAAAUCGGGUGGUAAACUCCAUCUAAAGCUAAAUACUGGCGAGAGACCGAUAGCGAACAAGUACCGUGAGGGAAAGAUGAAAAGGACUUUGGAAAGAGAGUUAAACAGUACGUGAAAUUGCUGGAAGGGAAACGCUCCAAGUCAGUCGCGUCGGCCGGGGAUCAACCCUGCGCGAGAUGAUCGUGCACGGGCGUACUUCCUGGUCGAUGGGUCAGCAUCGAUUUCGGCCGUCAGACAAGGCCGCGGAGGAACGUGGCACUCCUCGGAGUGUGUUAUAGCCUCCCGUGCGAACGUGAUGGCUGGGAUCGAGGAACCCUCGGGCCCUUCGCGGGUGCCCCUAGGAUGCUGGCAUAAUGUCUUC